UCCCUGGUAGCUCAGCGGUAGAGCACUCGACUGUUAAUCGAAGGUCGCCGGUUCGAAUCCGGCCCGGGGAGCCA
rnacentral:tRNA from 1 species